AGGCCUCCUAGCUCUCUCUCUUUCUCUGUCGCUCUUGAUGAUUGACGGAAAUUUAGUUGUCGUCUCUUUCGUGUUUGUGAAUAGAUUUUACUAUAUAGUUGUAAAGUAGGUAAUAGAGGUUGGUUGGUUGCUCUUUCUUUCUCUGGGUUACAAAUUACAAUCUUUUACGCGUGCUUACAGCAUUCAAAAUCUUGAUCAGCGACACGUUUGAUGAUGGGAGGUUCAGGCCAGGGCCUCCCAGGCCUUUAUAAAGAGCUCCAACCAUAGACCGUGUAGAUAUCAACAAAAUAAAUAUGAAAACUCUUGGAUAUACGAAGAUCCUACAAAUUGCCAUAGUUAUGGUGAUUGCAGCUGCUUUGAAGUUUGAGGAGGCACAGCAAUUAUCUGGAGGUUGUCGUUGUGGUGGCAGGCGUGGUUGAACCCAUUUGGAUCGAUAUCGAUCCGCAUAAGAUCGAUCAAUAAACAUAUGCAGCAGCUUCAGCAAUUGUGAA